AAUGAGAACUUGUUCUCAACUUGCCUACCUGGUUAAAUAAAGGUGAAAUAAAUAAAUAACAAUUAUAGUAAAAAAAUGAUGUAGCUAGCUAGUUAUAUCUCUGAAAGGCAUGUUGUUACUUUUUUUUUCAGUUGCCCAUUAAGUCCAUGCGGGAUCAGAAAAAGGAGAAGGGAUCAUGUCAAAUGUCUCAACCUCGGUGAUAGCUCAGCCAUCACCAUCUGAUUAUAUACAGAUGUUUCAAGACAUGUUGAGUCAAAGCUGAUCUACUCCAACAGCUGACUGCAGUUAUUGUCUUUUCUGUGCAGUUUUAUUUAAUAGAGAAUACAUCUAAAUGUUACAUGAAAAAAUGCCCAAAUAGCUGGUGGAUUAGAUUUUUUUUGUUUUGUUGAUCAACCUCACAUGCUGCAGAGUAGACUGGAUUUAUCUGAGUGCUAACCUCUAUUCAUGGGUAUGCUGAUGAGGAUAUAAGGAUGGAAUACAUGUCAACAACUCCGACUCAAUCAAGGGAAGCGGUCACCCAGCAAAUACAAACUGGACAAAGAAUACAACUUCCUAUCUGGUGUCAAACAUUAAGCCCUCGUGGAUGGUAGGGCUUUCUGCUUCAGAUUAAGCAAUAGAAGCUCUGAGAUCCCCAAACAAGAGAUGACAAUCUGGCUGUAAAGACUUGAAGAUAGUUUGGAGCCCUAUAACACAUUUACUAAGUUAUUUUGUUGCUUCUGCCUUUGUUAUUUGUCAAUAAAUCUAGAUUA